rnacentral:rRNA from 1 species
AUUAGCCAUGCAUGUCUCAGUGCAAGCCGUAUUAAGGCGAUACCGCGAAUGGCUCAAUAUAUCAGUUUUGGUUCCUUAGAUCUUACUCAGUUACUUGGAUAACUGUGGUAAUUCUAGAGCUAAUACAUGCAAUCAGAACUCUGACCAGUGAUGGGAUGAGUGCUUUUAUUAGAUCAAAACCAAUCGGCGGAGGGCCUAGCGUCCGAAGUCGUUAAUUUUGAUGAAUCUGGAUAACUUUUGCCGAUCGCAUGGUCCAGUACCGGCGACGCAUCUUUCAAAUGUCUGCCUUAUCAACUUUCGAUGGUAGUUUCUGCGACUACCAUGGUUGUCACGGGUAACGGGGAAUCAGGGUUCGAUUCCGGAGAGGGAGCCUGAGAAACGGCUACCACAUCCAAGGAAGGCAGCAGGCGCGCAAAUUACCCACUCCCGGCACGGGGAGGUAGUGACGAAAAAUAACGAUACGGGACUCUUACGAGGCCUCGUAAUCGGAAUGAGUACACUUUAAAUAUUUUAACGAGGAACAAUUGGAGGGCAAGUCUGGUGCCAGCAGCCGCGGUAAUUCCAGCUCCAAUAGCGUAUACUAAAAUUGUUGCGGUUAAAAAGCUCGUAGUUGCAUUUGUGCGCCGCGCUGUCGGUGCACCGCAUCCGCGGUGAUACUGACACGUCUGCGGAGCAUAUCGUCGGUGAGCCGGCGGUAAAACGCCGGUUCAAUAUCAAAAUCCUAUCGCGGUGCUCUUCGGUGAGUGUCGAGGUGGGCCGACAAUUUUACUUUGAACAAAUUAGAGUGCUCAAAGCGGGCUCAAAAUGCCGCUUGAAUAUUUCGUGCAUGGAAUAAUAGAAUAUGAUCUCGGUUCUAUUUUGUUGGUUUUCAGAACUCCGAGGUAAUGAUUAAUAGGGAUAACUGGGGGGCAUUCGUAUUGCGACGUUAGAGGUGAAAUUCUUGGAUCGUCGCAAGACGAACAUCAGCGAAAGCAUUUGCCAAAGGUGUUUUCAUCAAUCAAGAACGAAGUUAGAGGUUU